GUCUACAGCCAUGCAACCCUAAACAGGCCUGAUCUCGCCUGAUCUCGGAAGCUAAGCAGGGCCGGGCCGGGUUAGUACUUGGAUGGGAGACCACCUAGGAAAACCAGGUGCUGUAGGCG
rnacentral:rRNA from 1 species